AUGCUCAGACUCUCACUUCUUUUUAGCCUCUUAAAUAGAAUCUUCUGGAAUGAACCAUCCAUUAAUAAGAUUAUAUAUUUUAAAACAUAUUGGCCUUAAGCUAAAUGACUUCUGAUUUUUGACUCAUAUUUAUAACUAAAACUUACUCCUUUUCUGCUGUUCCAUGAUUUUCUUUAUUUUUCUCAUGAAUAUAGACAAAAAUGAAGGUCAGCCCUGUGCUCAGGAGGUGGUGCUCGGUAGAACCUAACACAGAAUGAGCUGCAAGGGACAGCCACAGAGCUGGGGUGGGACAGAGGCCCAAGGGUGUUUCCUGACUUACUGAGCCUGUUGUGACAGGGUAGUUUCCACCGGAAGAGACAGAGUCUUAUUUUAAAAAAGAAGGUCCUUUGGGAGAAUAUCCAGGGAUUUUUCACAGUGGCCUUGAAUAUGAAAAAAAAAUAGGAUGUUUCUUAUGCAUUCCUUUUUUGUUACUUUGCUUAUUUAUUUAUGUGGUGCUGGGUGUGUGUGCCAUGUGUGGAGGUCACAGGACAACAUGGGGCAGUUGGUUCUUUCUUUUCACCACAUGGGUCCUGAGACUGGAACUCGGGUCCCCAGGCAUGGCAGCAGGUGCUUGACCUGAUCACUGGUCCAAAUGAUAUUUUCUUCAUAAAAUUUACUAUAUUAUUGAUAUUUCUUUUUCUUAAAAGAUUUAUUUAUUUAUUUUAUAUGAGUAUACUGUCUCUGUCUUCAGAUACACCAGAAGAGGGCACCGGAUCCCAUUACAGACGGUUGUGAGACAUCAUUUGGUUGCUGGGAAUUAAACUCAGAAACUCUGGAAGAGCAGUCAGUGCUCCUACCCUCUGAGCCAACUCUCCAGCCCUUACUGAUGUUUCUGAAAUCUAUAAGUUGUUUCAAUGAUCACCAAAACCCUUUGAUCAAAACCUUUUGAGAAUAGGGUAUUUUUCAGUCUCCAGACAUUUGGCUGGUUAGUAUUUCUUUCUCCUCUUUGGUAUAACAGUAUGUGCUGCAUACACAUCAUUUACAGGCUGCUGUCACUCUUCAGAGUGGUAGGAGUAAUAGAUAGCCAAGGUCCUUUGGCUCCACUCAGAGAGUUGGGCAUAGAAGCCACAAGUACUGCAAAUACAAAUGCUAACUCAACAUGAAAAAGCAUAAUGCAGGGGCUGCCUUGCACAUGAAAAAAUGCUACUGUUUAGAAAAGAUGCAGGGCUGUGAGUUUAGUUACAGUGAUAAUGGAUAAUGUAUUUCCCUUAUGCUCUUUUCUCAGCAGGGUCCUGUCAACAGUCAGGGAAAAUGCAGGGCAUGGGAGACUAUUUAGAAAGCAAAUUAUUAGCCCCACCUCAAGUUAUAGAAUGGGAAAAACAGGAGGGACAUUUAGGAGGUAUUUGCAUACACUUGCCCAAUUAUAUAUGUACACAGAUGUGAACAUCUGCAACUGCUCUGCAUCUCUACAUGCCAUCCUUCCCUCAGCUGUCACUGGUUACACAAAGAUUGCUAUGCCUUUGCCUUUAGUUGCAGCUUUAGCUACCUGUCAGCAGCUCCUGUCCAUAGUAAGUUGUUUUUUUUUUAACUAAACAACACACACACACACACACACAUCCAUAUAGACAUACACAGACUCACAUACACCCUCACAUAUUCAUACACAUAUGCACUCAAAUACACACAGAUACACACACAGACAUAAAGACACAGACACACAGAGAGACACACACACUCACAUCCAUAUAGACAUACACAGACUCACAUACACCCUCACAUAUUCAUACACAGAUGCACUCAAAUACACACAGACACAGACACACACACACACAUACACACACACACACACACACACACACACACACACACACAACUUUCAGGCUAUUGAAGAAUCCUGCUUCUUGUUCUGGACUGUUUCUGGACUGUUUCCCCAUAUUCUAUUGUACAAUCUUGUCAAAAUUUUGGCUUCUUUUUACCUGUGUCCAUGGGAAUGACUAACUGGAGUUAGACACUUAUUUUUAUUUUCAAAUUCAGAUGGUCUGGCCCCUCCUGCUGCUCUCUAACUCACAGCUACAGCCUGUGACCUGAGGGUGUGGGGAUAGCUAGAGGUGGCAAACAGUGCUCCUAUUGUAGAAGCACAGGAAGCUUGUGUUUGGGAAAGCCUGCAGUGUUUCCCAAACUUCUCCUUCUGAGCUGUAGAGAUGCACCGCAAAGCAGAGAGUGCCGUCUGCACAGAGAAGGGUACAGGCCAUGACUGUACACAGCAGGAUACACACCCAUUUCUGUAACCUAGCAAACACACCGUGUGUCCUUGGACUUGCUUUCCAACAGUGAUCCAGUGGGGUCGUAUAAUAUUAAGGCACACGGCAUUGCAAGCCUCUGUAUGUGCACAGGGUAUAAAUAGUUGGAAAUUAGAACAUGGAUUCAGUCUGAGCUCUACAGGCCUUUUAUAUGCCAAAGAUUCAUAAUUUUAGAAAAUAGGAUUCCCCGUAAAAAUCUUUUGAAAAGCCUAACCUCAAGUGGGAACUGGUUUAAUUAUUGCUCUUAAAUUCAUUUGGAUCCGAAGUGGACAGAAUGGAGUCUUCCAUACUGGCAUCCUUCUCUGCUCCAUUUCAAAGAGCCAGAGCUGCAUGAAAGACAACAAGCUUAUAAGAAAGAGCCCUUGAUUUCUUCACACUCACUAUGGCUAUGAUUAAAACUGAUUUCAAGUGUCUAUGGAAAGUCAGACAACUGGAUCUUGGAGAUGUAGUUAACACAUUAGGUCACUUGGGACACCUUCUUGAUGACACAACAGUAACAGCAUUUGGAACAGCACUAUCUUCCAAGCCUUGAGAUUAAAAAGUAUUAUCACUUUAUAUGUUUCAUAAAACCCAGUGAUGGGGAAACCAAAGUGUUUCACAAGAUCCCAGAACUAGGACAAUCUCAACUGCCUCAUAUCUCAGCCCAUAUGGAAGAGUGUCUCCCAUCCAGGAGAGCCCAAGGUUGUCCUGAAAUCACACUUUCAGUUAGCUUUAGAAUUAGACUUAAGAUAUAUAGGAAAGAUUACUCAGUGGUUAAGCAAAGGACCAGGUUCAGUUCCCAACACCCGCAUCGAGUGGCUCACAACUGUCUAACUCUAGUUCUAGGAGAUCCAGCGCCCUCUUCUGGCCUCCAUGGAUACAUGUAUAUAUGUGGUGUAUAUGCAACUAUUCAGGACUAUGAAUAUAAAAUGAAAGAAAUAUAUUUAAAAGUAAUUAUAAGAUAUAUAAUAGCCUUAAUAGAUUUAAUAACUGGACUGCUGGUUUAAUAGACUGAUUUCUGGUAUUUUCUUCUUCUGAAGAAACACAAGAUUCCAGGGAACAUAGAAUUCUCAAAGAUUUGAGACAAGUAAGUGUGCAGAUCAAGACUGGCUCCUGUCAGGACUCACAGGGCUCAGGAGCAAGGUUAGGCCUGUAACUCCAAGGCAUUCUCUGCCGUGGACUGUGGCCCCCCCAAAGGCCCGGGCCCAGCAGUUGCUCUCUCUCUUACCCUCGCUUUCAGAUUGGAUGGUCAGGUGUAAUUUUGCACACAGCUGCUGGAGGCAAAGAUGUUUCAACUUCUUGUCUCUCUCCUAAGAAGCAUUGCAGAGGAACACUGCGGGAGGGUGAGUCUCAACUCCUCCAAGUAACCUGGUUGGCUG
rnacentral:lncRNA from 1 species